rnacentral:lncRNA from 1 species
AAGACUGGGCAGAUUUGGUAAACAAAGCAUUAAUGCCAAAACCACUGAAGGAAGGGGUGACCUGGAACAGACAAAAAUAGCAUGGAAGGAGUUUUGAGCCAGUCAGUUUUCCAAGUACAAAGGAGACAAAAGUGAAGAUAGCGCCCUGGACUGUAAGGAGCUCACCACCUUGCCUAUCACCCCAAAUAUGAACUUAGCAACAAAACUCUGCAACAGGAAAGGAAUUAGAGAAAUCCAGGUAGCUGGCAAAUCUUUCCUCAAUUUAAUUUGCAUUAAAAAUAAAAGAGGGGGCUGGGCGCAGUGGUUCACAUCCAUAAUCCCAGCACUUUUGGGAGGCCAAGCAGAAGGAUCGAUUGAGACCAGGAGUUCAGGACUAGCCUUGGCAACAUAGCAAGAUCCUCAUCUCUACAACAUAUAUAUAUAUUUAAAAAUUAGCUGGGCCUGGUAGUGUGCACCUAUAUAGUCCUAGCUACUCAGGAGACUGAGGCAGCAGGAUCCCCUAAGCCCAGGAGUUUGAGGCUGAAAUGAGCUAUGAUCACACCACCACACUUCAGCCUGAGCAACAGAGCAAGACCCUGUCUUGAAAACAAACAAACAAAAGAGGCUUUGCAGCAUAAAUGUUUUGACAGAACUAAUAAAGAAUGUGCCUCUGUCUGGCCGGGCGCAGUAGCUCAUGCCUGUAAUCCCAGCACUUUGGGAGGCCAAGGUGGGUGGAUCAUCAGGUCAGGAGUUUGAGACCAGCCUGACCAACAUGAUGAAACCCCGUCUCUACUAAAAAUACAAAAAAAUUAGCCAGGCGUGGUAGCACGUGCCUGUAAUCCCAGCUACUCAAUCGCUUGAACCUGGGAGGCAGAGGUGGCAGUGAGCCAAGAUUGCACCACUGUACUCCAGCCUGGGCGACAGAGCAAGACUCCAUCUAAAAGAAAAAAAAAAGAAUGUGCCUCUGUCUUAAAAUAAUACAUUUCUCUCUAAUCUGCAAAAUAGGACACGUAUGAGAAAAUAUUUGCCAAUCAAAUACAUUUUAUAGCUGAUCUAAAGUGCUUACAAUCAUACCAAAGAACAGAACCUCUCAUCAUCAGCUUAGGCUUUUUCAACUAAGAAAGGAUAAGAUGGACCUUGAUUUUUAAUUUUAAUUCUUGGAAUGUCACAGAGUAAAGGUCAUUUUACCUAAUCGUCCCAUGUAAUAAGGCAUAUUGCCAUAUGUAGAACAUACAGCUAACUGAGAUUUCACUUUGCUUUCUGAUAUUUAACCCUGUUGUAAUAUUGGCUAUGUGAACCUGAGAAAUGAAAAACUGUGAUGUCGUUUUAGAAAUGGGGAAAAGUUGCCCAGGGCAAACAAGCAUGAAUAUAUCUGAUUAUAUUCUGUCCCCUGGUUCCUAGCAAUGCCUCUUAUGAUUGUCUUUCAGAUAUGU